rnacentral:rRNA from 1 species
UACGUAGGGGGCUAGCGUUAUCCGGAAUUACUGGGCGUAAAGGGUGCGUAGGUGGCCCAACAAGUCAGAGGUGAAAGGCUACGGCUCAACCGUAGUAAGCCUUUGAAACUGUAGGGCUUGAGUGCAGGAGAGGAAAGUAGAAUUCCCAGUGUAGCGGUGAAAUGCGUAGAUAUUGGGAGGAAUACCAGUUGCGAAGGCGGCUUUCUGGACUGUAACUGACACUGAGGCACGAAAGCGUGGGGAGCGAACAGGAUUAGAUACCCUUGUAGU